rnacentral:rRNA from 1 species
UACGUAGGGUGCAAGCGUUAUCCGGAAUUAUUGGGCGUAAAGAGCUCGUAGGCGGUUUGUCGCGUCUGCUGUGAAAACUGGAGGCUCAACCUCCAGCCUGCAGUGGGUACGGGCAGACUAGAGUACUGCAGGGGAGACUGGAAUUCCUGGUGUAGCGGUGGAAUGCGCAGAUAUCAGGAGGAACACCGGUGGCGAAGGCGGUUCUCUGGGCAUGUCCUGACGUGAGGAGCGAAAGUGUGGGGGAGCGAACAGG